UACGAAGGGGGCUAGCGUUGUUCGGAAUUACUGGGCGUAAAGCGUGCGCAGGCGGCUAUCCAAGUCAGUGGUGAAAGCCCGGAGCUCAACUCCGGAAUUGCCAUUGAAACUGUUUAGCUUGAGUACGAGAGAGGUGAGUGGAAUACCCAGUGUAGAGGUGAAAUUCGUAGAUAUUGGGUAGAACACCGGUGGCGAAGGCGGCUCACUGGCUCGUAACUGACGCUCAGGCACGACAGCGUGGGGAUCAAAC
rnacentral:rRNA from 1 species